UGGGGAAUAUUGGACAAUGGGCGGAAGCCUGAUCCAGCAACGCCGCGUGAGGGAUGACGGCCUUCGGGUUGUAAACCUCUUUCAGCAGGGACGAAGCGCAAGUGACGGUACCUGCAGAAGAAGCACCGGCCAACUACGUGCCAGCAGCCGCGGUAAUACGUAGGGUGCGAGCGUUGUCCGGAAUUAUUGGGCGUAAAGGGCUCGUAGGCGGUUUGUCGCGUCGGGAGUGAAAACUCAGGGCUUAACCCUGAGCCUGCUUCCGAUACGGGCAGACUAGAGGUAUGCAGGGGAGAACGGAAUUCCUGGUGUAGCGGUGAAAUGCGCAGAUAUCAGGAGGAACACCGGUGGCGAAGGCGGUUCUCUGGGCAUUACCUGACGCUGAGGAGCGAAAGUGUGGGGAGCGAACAGG
rnacentral:rRNA from 1 species